GACGAACGCUGGCGGCGUGCCUAAUACAUGCAAGUCGAACGCAGUGGGGACGGGUGAGUAACACGUGGGUAACCUCCCAUCAGAGGGGAUAACCCUUGGCAACAGGUGCUAAACCGAUACUGAUGGAUGAACCCGCGGGGCAUUAGCUAGUUGGUGAGGUAAAGGCUCACCAAGGCCACGAUGCAUAGCCGACCUGAGAGGAUGAUCGGCCACACUGGGACGGAGACACGGCCCAGACUCCUACGGGAGGCAGCAGUAGGGAAUUUUCGGCAAUGGGCGAAAGUCUGACCGAGCAACGCCGCGUGAGUGAAGAAGGUUUUCGGAUCGUAAAGCUCUGUUGUUAGAGAAGCGGUAUCUAACCAGAAAGCCACGGCUAACUACGUGCCAGCAGCCGCGGUAAUUC
rnacentral:rRNA from 1 species